rnacentral:rRNA from 1 species
AACGAACGCUGGCGGCAGGCCUAACACAUGCAAGUCGAGCGAACCCUUCGGGGUUAGCGGCGGACGGGUUAGUAACGCGUGGGAAUAUACCCUUUGGUACGGAAUAGCCUCGGGAAACUGAGAGUAAUACCGUAUGUGCCCUUCGGGGAAAGGAUUAUCGCCAAGGAUUAGCCCGCGUUGGAUUAGAUAGUUGGUGGGGUAAGUGGCCGUACCAAGUCUCGAAAAAAUCCAUAGCUGGUCUGAGAGGAUGAUCAGCCACACUGGGACGUGAGACACGGCCCAGACUCCUACGGAGGGCGAGC